AGAGCGAACGCUGGCGGCAGGCCUAACACAUGCAAGUCGAGCGCCCCGCAAGGGGAGCGGCAGACGGGAGAGUAACACGUGGGAACGUGCCCUUUGGUUCGGAACAACACAGGGAAACUUGUGCUAAUACCGGAUAAGCCCUUACGGGGAAAGAUUUAUUGCCAAAGGAUCGGCCCGCGUCUGAUUAGCUUGUUGGUGAGGUAACGGCUCACCAAGGCGACGAUCAGUAGCUGGUCUGAGAGGAUGAUCAGCCUCACUGGGACUGAGACACGGCCCAGACUCCUACGGGAGGCAGCAGUGGGGAAUAUUGGACAAUGGGCGCAAGCCUGAUCCAGCCAUGCCGCGUGGGUGAUGAAGGCCCUAGGGUUGUAAAGCCCUUUCGGCGGGGAAGAUAAUGACGGUACCCGCAGAAGAAGCCCGGCUAACUUCGUGCCAGCAGCCGC
rnacentral:rRNA from 1 species